CCCUUAGAUGUUCUGGGCUGCACACGUGCUACACUGGCAGGUUCAGCGAGCUUCAUGCCCUGAUCUGAAAGGAAUGGGAAAUCUUUUCAAAACCUGCCGUGCUUGGGAUAGAUGUUUGCAAUUAUUCAUCUUCAACGAGGAUUGCCUUGUAAGCGCACGUCAUCAGCGUGCAUUGAAUACGACCCUGUAUUCUGUACACACCGCCCGUCGCUCCUACCGAUUGAAGUUUUCGGUGAGUUGACAGGAGGAUUUUUUUGAAACUGGUUCGCCAGUGGAGUUUAGAUCCAAAUGCCAACGAAUCGAUGGCUUUAGAGGAAGGAGAAGUCGUAACA
rnacentral:rRNA from 1 species